rnacentral:misc_RNA from 1 species
GAAUCAUGUCCUCCGCCGCUGCCAUGGCUGCUAGGUCAGCCUUCAGAUCAACCCUAGCCCGAGCUCCUAUCUCCGCCAGACUUACCAACGGUGCCAAAGUCAAAUCACCCUCAUCUCCUUUCGCCAUCCCCAAGCAGAACCCACUCUCCCAAUCCCAUCGCAUUUUGAGGUCUCCUGUUGAGUUGAGUUGCUGUGUGGAAUCGUUGCUUCCUUACCACUCUGC